rnacentral:lncRNA from 1 species
UAAUCAACGUUAACUCUUUUAUAUCACUCUGUGCACAAAAGGAAACCAAGUUUCAAUGCUUUUUAUUUGCAUAGGAUAUGCCUGCUUAUUUGCGAGCCCUUCGCCAAAGAUGGGGAGAGAGGAGCUAAACUGUAACUUCCUGCAGACUUAUCAUUCUUCAUAUUUUCAACAUCUAGCAAAUUGCCGGGCCCUCACAGCUCAUUAAGGUUGAACAAAUGAAACAUUGCAAUGAAAUAAAGGAGGCUUGAGAUACCA